ACCCACAUAUAUCAGCUGGUAGAGCAUGAGACCCUUAAUCUCAGGGUCGUGGGUUUGCGUCUCACAUUGGGCA